AGACUUUUAGUUUAAUUGUGGAAUGUCUCUUUUACAUAGAGGAGGUUAAAAGGUCUU
rnacentral:tRNA from 1 species